AGCUCCAAUAGCGUAUACUAAAGUUGUUGCAGUUAAAAAGCUCGUAGUUGGAUUUCUGCGCGGGUGGGGCGACCGGGCGUCUCAAAGGCGUCUCGUGUCAGCAACGCCCGCGCAUCCUGUCGCGAACCACGCUACCAUUCAUUUGGUGGCGUCUUGGGGAUCGACUCGUUUACUUUGAGAAAAUUUGAGUGUUCAAAGCAGGUAACUCGCCUUGAAAUGUUAGCAUGGAAUA
rnacentral:rRNA from 1 species